AUUGAACGCUGGCGGCAGGCUUAACACAUGCAAGUCGAGCGAGCGGCGGACGGGUGAGUAAUGUCUGGGAAACUGGCUGAGGGAGGGGGAUAACUACUGGAAACGGUAGCUAAUACCGCAUACAAUCAGAGGUGCCCAGAUGGGAUUAGCUAGUAGGUGGGGUAAUGGCUCACCUAGGCGACGAUCCCUAGCUGGUCUGAGCGGAUGACCAGCCACAGUGGAACUGAGACACGGUCCAGACUCCUACGUUAGGCAGCAGUGGUGAAUAGUGCACAAUGGGCUCUAGCCUGAUGCAGCCAUGCCGCGUGUGUGAAGAAGGCCUUCGGGUUGUAAAGCACUUUCAGCGAGGAGGCGUGACUCGCAGAGGAAGCACCGGCUAACUCCGUGCCAGCAGCCGCGGUAAUUC
rnacentral:rRNA from 1 species